UACGUAGGUGGCAAGCGUUGUUCGGAAUUAUUGGGCGUAAAGGGCGCGUAGGCGGCUUGUUAAGUCGGCUGUGAAAGCCCGGGGCUCAACCCCGGAGGGUCGGCCGAUACUGGCGAGCUAGAGUACGGAAGAGGUAGCUGGAAUUCCCGGUGUAGCGGUGAAAUGCGUAGAUAUCCGGAGGAACACCGGUGGCGAAGGCGGCAUCCUGGACCAUUACUGACACUGAAUAGCGAAAGCCAGGGGAGCAAACGGG
rnacentral:rRNA from 1 species